rnacentral:rRNA from 1 species
UGACCUCGGAUCAGGUAGGGAUACCCGCUGAACUUAAGCAUAUCAAUAAGCGGAGGAAAAGAAACCAACCGGGAUUGCCUCAGUAACGGCGAGUGAAGCGGCCAGAGCUCAAAUUUGAAAGCUGGCUCCUUCGGGGUCCGCAUUGUAAUUUGCAGAGGAUGCUUCGGGUGCGGCCCCUGUCUAAGUGCCCUGGAACGGGCCGUCAGAGAGGGUGAGAAUCCCGUCUGGGAUGGGGUGUCCGCGCCCGUGUGAAGCUCCUUCGACGAGUCGAGUUGUUUGGGAAUGCAGCUCUAAAUGGGUGGUAAAUUUCAUCUAAAGCUAAAUACUGGCCGGAGACCGAUAGCGCACAAGUAGAGUGAUCGAAAGAUGAAAAGCACUUUGAAAAGAGAGUUAAAAAGCACGUGAAAUUGUUGAAAGGGAAGCGCUUGCGACCAGACUCGCCUCCAGGGUUCAGCCGGCAUUCGUGCCGGUGUACUUCCCUGGGGGCGGGCCAGCGUCGGUUUGGGCGGCCGGUCAAAGGCUUCCGGAAUGUAGUGCCCUCCGGGGCACCUUAUAGCCGGGAGUGCAAUGCGGCCAGCCUGGACCGAGGAACGCGC